rnacentral:misc_RNA from 1 species
AACGAGGCCGACCUGCGGCUGAGUUACCUGCGGAGGGAUCAUUAAAAAGAGUGUGUACCCCUCUGUAAAAUGAGUGGGUUACCUCCCGUCCUUUGUUGACCUCUUAGGAGGUUAUUUUGAACUUUCUGCUUCGGUGGGGUUAAACCUACCGGAACACCCUCAAAUUCUUAUCAUUUAAAAAUUGUUCAGUCUGAUUUUUGUUAAUAAAAACAAAAAACUUUCAGCAAUGGAUCUCAGAUC